rnacentral:rRNA from 1 species
UUUAUAUGAGAGUUUGAUCCUGGCUCAGGAUGAACGCCGGCGGUGUGCCUAAUACAUGCAAGUCGAGCGCACUGGCCCAACUGAUAUGACGUGCUUGCACUGAAUUGACGUUGGAUUCCCAGUGAGCGGCGGACGGGUGAGUAACACGUGGGCAACCUGCCCUGAAGCGGGGGAUAACAUCUGGAAACAGGUGCUAAUACCGCAUAACAACGAAAACCACAUGGUUUUCGUUUCAAAGAUGGUUUCGGCUAUCACUUCAGGAUGGGCCCGCGGUGCAUUAGCUAGUUGGUAAGGUAACGGCUUACCAAGGCGAUGAUGCAUAGCCGAGUUGAGAGACUGAUCGGCCACAAUGGAACUGAGACACGGUCCAUACUCCUACGGGAGGCAGCAGUAGGGAAUCUUCCACAAUGGGCGCAAGCCUGAUGGAGCAACACCGCGUGAGUGAAGAAGGGUUUCGGCUCGUAAAGCUCUGUUGUUGGAGAAGAACGUGCGUGAGAGUAACUGUUCACGCAGUGACGGUAUCCAACCAGAAAGUCACGGCUAACUACGUGCCAGCAGCCGCGGUAAUACGUAGGUGGCAAGCGUUAUCCGGAUUUAUUGGGCGUAAAGCGAGCGCAGGCGGUUGCUUAGGUCUGAUGUGAAAGCCUUCGGCUUAACCGAAGAAGUGCAUCGGAAACCGGGCGACUUGAGUGCAGAAGAGGACAGUGGAACUCCAUGUGUAGCGGUGAAAUGCGUAGAUAUAUGGAAGAACACCAGUGGCGAAGGCGGCUGUCUGGUCUGUAACUGACGCUGAGGCUCGAAAGCAUGGGUAGCGAACAGGAUUAGAUACCCUGGUAGUCC